GCAGUGUUUAAAUUGCUUUUCUUUAAUCAAUUCGCACAUAUUUGUUGGGACAUUUAGCAAAAUGGGAAAUGGUAGAGUUGCCCGGUUUUGCCGAGCUCUAAGCUUGGAAGCAGAGCCGGCUACCGCGUUCAGGUUUCACGAGAAGCCCAGACUCAGGGUGAAUCCUGAAGGUUGAUCCAUCAUAUAAGCUUCCUCCAUCUCCCUCUGUGCAGGGCUGACUGGAGAAACGCUUAAAUAAGAAGAAAGCUGCAAGGUGGGGGCGGGAGCAUGUACAGCUGUGGGUCAUUAGCAAUAAUCACGGCCCGCCGGCAGGAGAGGAAGCCGAGCGUGGGGACAAGGGAGAGGCUUGGUCACCAGGAUAAAGAACACAGUGUAAAAGCCACAGGAUGAGGACUCAGCACAGAGGAAAUGGUGGGGCCUACUGACGGCGGACCGAGGAGAGUGAUGGUUAAAGUCGAGGUCUGCAGGCCGAUGGAAGUUUCAGAGGAGGCCAAGGAGGACUCAUCAGUACAGCUGUUCUCCGCUCCUGCGAUUGUGCCUCGCUGUGCGCCGGAACAGGAGUGCGCGGUGGAGGGGGUUUCAACUGACACUGAGAGGAAACGGUCCCUUCUUGUUUCUCCAGGGCAACUCCAACAUCUCAGAUGAAGCGCAGGUACUUCUGACUUUGGUUUUAACCCUAUCAAAGAAGUGUAUUUCAGGGGAAAACAAGGCUUUACACAAGUCUAUGCUUUCCAGCUUGACUCAUCUGAGUGCGGGCAGAUCCCUGCCUGAUGAGGUAACGUGGGCAACAGAAAAAUCCACGUGGCCGUCAUCACUCCGCCGGUGAGCAGUGAGAGGGCUCGACGGGCGGGCUCGACGGGCAGCCUCGCACUGGGAGAGGCUUCAACACUGGGAACCCUGUCACAAAGAGCCUGGGGGAGCUCCAGCCCAUCCUGCCGGCCCAAACUUGACUUCACCGGCGAGGCACUGCUACCGCCCUCAAAACUGCAGCAGAGAGCAAAGGAGUUUAUGGUGCGCUGGCAAGACAGGAUUACUGACAUCCAGCACCACCCCUUACCAGCAGAGUACAGGAACUAUCUGCAUUCUCUGUGAAUUAUAACGGCCCACAGGCAGAUGAGAAUUAUCUAAUUUUUUUAUCGAAGUAUACUUGAUUUACAAGGAUUUACACAAACAUACACGUGUGUGUAUGUACAUAUUUCUUUUUCAGAUUCUUUUCCAUUAUAAGUUAUUGUAAGAUAUUGAAUAUAGUUCUCUGUAUUAUGCACAGGAGGCCCUUGUUGUAUGUUACAGUAGUGGUGUGUAUCUGUUCAUCCCAGACGACUAAUUUACCUCUCCCCUCCCCUCUGCCCUCUCCCCUGGUAACUGCAAGUUCCUUCUCUAAGCCUGUGAGUCUGUUUCUACUUUGUAAAUAAGUUCAUUUCUAUCCUUUUCUUUUAAAUUCUGCAAGUAAGUGAUAUCAUGAUACAUCCCUGUCUGACUUAGUUCACUCGAUAUGAUAAUCCGUAGGUUCAUCCAUAUUGCCACAGAUGCCAUUCUUUUUUAUGGCUGAAAAGAAAGAAAGUGAAAGUGAAGUUGCUCAGUCGUGUCUAACUCUUUGCAACCCCAUGGACUGUAGCCCACCAGGCUGCUCUGUCCAUGGAAUUUC
ensembl:lncRNA